rnacentral:tRNA from 2 species
GGCUCCGUAGCUCAGCAGGAUAGAGCGUCGGUUUCCUAAACCGCAGGUCGCAGGUUCGAGUCCUGCCGGGGCCACCA